UGGCAGGAAGGUGGCACGAUAACUUUUUU
rnacentral:piRNA from 1 species